CCAUUGGCUGCAGGGGGACUGCCCAAGGGGUAAAGUCCAAAUCCCUUCCCAUAGAGCAGGAGAGUUCUAACCUCAGGCACCCAAUCCUUCUCCAUCUGGGCUUAACCAAAGGGCUAUAAGACCAUGAGAUAUGUACAUCCACCACAGCAAAACUGAGGUGCCACAUCUCAGUUUGAAGCCAUUUCCUUUUGUAAUGUGAAGAUCAGCUGAAGAUCUGCCACUGCUGAGAGAAGAGCUCUUACUAGGGUCAGAUAUGGCCAUUUCCAAAGACUUCAGAGAGUUCUUCCCAUCAGCAUCUUGGAUGAACAAGAGGCUAAGACAGAUUUCAGGACAGGAACACAAUUUUCCAUCUUGGAGGUUGUUGCAGCCAAAAUGCAGCUAGGGAAACGCUGAAGCCAGCUGAUAGAGCAAAAUCCUAGGACUGGGUGCACAAUUAAUUUUUUCAGACUUGUUCCAAACCCAAAUAACUCAGAGGAAAAGCAGUUUGGAAAUAAUUCAGGUGAGAUCAGCCAGAAACGCUGUUUUGCUUUUGCACGGAACAGCAAAGCCAAAAAUCAGAAUUGCAGUGAAUGAACCCAUUCACAGUGAACCUGCUCACGGUGAAACCUCCCCUUCUAACCCACCCCUGCUGACCCUUCACAUCACGUGCUGUGCCUGGCUUGGU